AUUCCGUGACCCACCCCAGUACAAAUUCAGAAUUUGAGAAGAAGAAAUUAUCUACUUGCACCCAAAUCCACUUUACUUCUGGUGAUGGGGAUAUUUGGCAGCAGUUUAAAGUUGGAGAACCUACAAACCCCUGAAUCUACAAAGUUUCAUUCUGAACAGCCUUACAACUGCUGCCAGAGAUCUCCCUCCUGAAGGAGCCAGAUUCUCACCAGUUCUCACCAGUUCACACAGUGGCCAACCAGAUGAUCCAGUAGGAAUCCCAAAGGCAGGACCUGCACACAACAGCACUCUCCCCACAUGUGAUUCUCAGCCACUGGUACUCAGCAACUGGUAUUGCCUGCAUCAAUGGAGGGACUUUGGGGGCGGCGUGACGAUAUUCCUCCCCAUUGAGGAAGAUUGAUUUCUUGUCACAUAAGUUCAGCAGUUAAGAAAAAAGGUGCUUGUCCUGUUUCCCACACCUGUCACAUUGACUUCUAUAAUGAACCCGUUACACAGACCUCGGAAACGGAUGGAAACCUCUUCUGACAGCACUUGUCAAAUGA